rnacentral:rRNA from 1 species
UACGGAGGGUGCGAGCGUUGUCCGGAAUCACUGGGCGUAAAGGGCGCGUAGGUGGCGCGGCAAGUCAACGGUGAAAGCUCGACGCUCAACGUCGAGUCGGCCGUCGAUACUGCUGGGCUUGAGCACUGUAGAGGCAGAUGGAAUUCCGGGUGUAGCGGUGGAAUGCGUAGAGAUCCGGAAGAACACCGGUGGCGAAGGCGGUCUGCUGGGCAGUAGCUGACACUGAGGCGCGACAGCGUGGGGAGCAAACAGG